rnacentral:lncRNA from 1 species
UGCCAGCCAUCACCAUGUUACACACAUAGAUGGUCACAGCUCUGUGAUACCAGGGUUGAGCAGACACCAGUAUGAUCAAUUGAUGAGCUUGUUGCAACAGACCAAGUUAGGGGAUUCCAGUGAUCAAGUUCCUCCUCCCUGUGUGCUGCUAAUUUUGCUGGUACUAUGUUGACUGAGAGUCUUGUUUGUGAUUCCAAAUUAUGCAUGCUUACACAUAUUAAUUAUGUCACCUAGAUCAUAGAUUCAGGGGCAUCUAAUCACAUGACACAUGAUAAAAACCUACUCUUUAACAUCAUACUUUUGACUGUUCCUUAUCUUGUAACUUUGCCUAAUGGUUACAAAGGGAAAGUUACUUGUACAGGUUCGUUUGCAUUAACUUCAUCCCUUACUCUUCACAAUGUGCUUCUGGUUCCUUCCUUUAAACACAACUUGAUUUCUGUCCACAAGUUGGUAAUACAAUUGCACUGUAUAGUUUUGUUUACUCCAACUUCCUAUUUACUUCACAUGAUACAGGACCCUUCUCUGAAGAGGCUUCUGGAUCUUGGUAAAGAGGAAGCUGGCCUAUACAAGCUGUC